CACGGGCCAGCGGCCCGGUCCUGACCCCAGGGCCCUGGCCAAUGCCCUGCCGCCCGAUGCCUGCUGCACAAGGAUGGCGCAGCAGAGGCGCGUUCGGGACUCUUUCUCUUCUUUUGCGAUUAAAUCCUUUGUCGGGCGUCCCCUGUGUGCCAGGCACCGUGCCAAGCGCCGAGAUUCGAGAGGUUCCAGUUCAGAAGCUACAGCACAGCUUAGCUGAGUCCUUUCCUCAGUCUCAGAAGGCUGCAGUCAAGGUGUCAGCAAGGCUCAUGCCCCUCUGGAGACCCAGCUGGAGAAGAGAACACCUGCAAACCCGCUCAGGGCUGCACUCGCAGCACAUGGGGAAAUAGCAAGAAGAGAGCAAGUGAGCAAGUGAGCUAUAUGUGUAUGUAUGGUGGACCAUGGAAUCAAAGUUGGGUAAGAAGAGGUGCGGAAGCCAUGAGGUGGGUGAGGGACAGUGAAACUGUGGUAGAACCAAUGGAUCAUAAGUCCUGAGGGAAUGGAAGAACCAUUAGAACUGGGGUAGUGGAGGGAGUGAGCUGGAAAGAUAGGAGACUGUGGUCAGAUAUAUCAGCUUUUUUAAUAUUGAAAGCACCAGGAAAUAAAUAGCAGUGCUGGAAAGAGCAACAGUGAAUCAGAAGCUAAAACCUUCAAGGAAUGAAGAGGAAUGAGCUGUCACUAACAGAGAUGUCAGCAACAAUGAAGGGGAACUGGGGAUAUAACCUGGUGGCAUGAGCGUUAGAGCUGGA